CCCAAGCUGACCAAAUUAAGGCCAAGUAAUCCGUAUGGCUUUGUCCACGUCAGGCUCUCCAACCAUCACUUAUGCAUGGGGCAUGACGUCUGUCGCAUAGUUUCCCUCUUGUACAUGUCUCAUUGUGUGGUGGCUGCUAUCGACGUACGCCAAAUGGUGGUGGGAGUAGCCAUCACCGAUGCAGCAUUCACAUCUCGAACUCUCUCGCCUCCUCGCCAAAGUUUCUCAUUCAUUGCACCCAAUAAUUGUUGACGCCAGUACCCAAACAAACCUAUCGAUCUGAUCACUCCGGCAUGGGUCCGGCCGGGGCUUGUAGCUGAGGGGAAAGAUGAAUGUGGUGGGUUUGGUACGUACUCUUAGAUGCCUCGGCGAAGAACAGGUGGGAUCGAACCUCGCCAAGGGUGGAGGAUGAUGAGGAGUCGUGCUGGCGUAGUAAUAUUUUGACUGGGAAAGGAACAAAGGAAGCAACAAAAGGCUAUCUAUGCCCGUGGCGUUAUUGGCCAUACCGUGUAUUCUUGGAUAAUAUGAUCUCAAAGAAUUCGAGCAGAACAUGCCAGAUAUAGAUCUUCUUGUGAGGCAAUUACAGUAAUUGUUAUUGAGAAAAGAUAAUUAUACUGAUUGUUGCUUAGGUAUGUUUUGAGGUGCUUUCCAUGUCACGAUGAGAAUGUUACGUACUUGGUUUUAACGUUAAUGUUUGGUUUUAACCGUGAACCCGAUGUAACAGUGAAAGGUAGCAGAUCUGCAAAUCAAAUCAAUUUAUAUUAAUUUAUUGCUU